rnacentral:rRNA from 1 species
UACGUAGGGGGCAAGCGUUGUCCGGAAUUAUUGGGCGUAAAGAGCGUGUAGGCGGCCAGAUAAGUCCGCUGUGAAAUCUCGAGGCUCAACUUCGAGCUGUCGGUGGAAACUAUCUGGCUAGAGUCCGGAAGAGGAGAAUGGAAUUCCUGGUGUAGCGGUGAAAUGCGCAGAUAUCAGGAGGAGCACCCGUGGCGAAAGCGGCUCUCUGGGACGGUACUGACGCUGAGACGCGAAAGCGUGGGGAGCAAACAGG